GACAGAGGGUGCAAACGUUGUUCGGAAUUACUGGGCGUAAAGCGAGUGUAGGCGGUUUCCUAAGUCAGGUGUGAAAGCCCCGGGCUCAACCCGGGAAGUGCACUUGAAACUGGGAGGCUAGAGUAUCGGAGAGGUUGGAUGGAAUUCUCGGUGUAGAGGUGAAAUUCGUAGAUAUCGAGAGGAACACCGGUGGCGAAGGCGGCCAACUGGACGAAUACUGACGCUGAGACUCGAAAGCGUGGGGAGCAAACAGG
rnacentral:rRNA from 1 species